UCGGCACAAUGAAAAAUCUUUUGAAAGCGAAGCGCUUGUAUGGUACAUUUCUGUUAUACAAGGUCUUUGUUCACUCCUUUCGGGGGCAUUCCCUCUUUUCACGCAUUCCCGUUCCUUCACGGGAGCUUCUUAAACCUCCCAAUGGUACAGUGCUACAAUAGCAGAACAGAGGGAAGACUUUUAGCCACUUGAAGCUAUUUAUAGUAUUCUGAAUCGUUUAAAAAUUUUAUGCAUUUUUCGUUUUCGUGGAACUAUUUUAAGAGACUUUACAAAGGACACGAAACGCGCAUAAAUUUCAGGAGUUUGUAUCUAUCUUGCUAGUUUAAACGGAGAGGAUGAGCCAAACUUAAUGUAUGAAAGACUCAUUCUUCACAUCAUGUCGCUUCUCUAAAGAUGGUUAAACGCAAAGAGAUUUUACAUGAGUCAACUCACCAAUGAUAAAGCCACACUUCGCAUGCUUUGGAUUGCUGCAAUGAAAGAUAAUGCACAUGAGACAAAUCCUGCAUCCAAAAAAGUCAAAAUGAAGUAACAAACUGGAACAAUUUAAAGACAAAUUCACGAUAGCAGAGUAACAGAACAGAGACUGACCCAAGACAUUCCAGUGUUUGUGGUUGUUGAUGCUAAUUUGCACUGGUCAGCAAAACAUACAGUCCACCACAUAAUGAAAUACCUCGAUAACUGCAAGCUGCUGCUCAAUGUUAAACCGUGAAAGCUUAAAAGACGACAGUUGAGAAAAGCAGAUAACAAACGCUACAAUAUCAACAUCCAAACAUUGAGAUAAAACUGCUGAAAUUCAUGGGUGGAAUUAUCAAAUAUGCAUGAGAUGGUAGGAGAUCAAGAGAAAGAAUCGACUUCAAAUUGAGCGUACAGUUUUUCUAACAAAGGAAAAUUUCGCGAUACAGUAUUGAACAUCUGCACUACAAAGAUCAGCGGGAUGUGAUCUUUCCCAAAACCUGGAAGAAGAAACAAAAUAUCAUUUCAAGAUCUGCCUUUCUUGAGAGUGUGUUCCACACAUGGGUUUAUUGCUUUGAGGAAAGGAACAACACUGAAUGGUAGGCAUUUUUUUUAAUCAAAUUUUGAACUGGCAUUUUCGAGCAAUACAAGACAAUGAGUUUUGGUACCUGGUACCUGGUAGAAAUAAUUUUAUAUUUCAGAGCUUUGUUUAAGAUUUUUGUGAUGGCUAGUUCUACUAUGUUUGCUGUAUAUGGUUCAUAAGUGCUUCAAAACAGUUGUAGAAUCGCUUUUCACCAGAAAAGUUGUCAUUAAUUGAAUUUUCAAGUGUAAUUUAUGUUCAUAUUGAGGUUUGUUGCCUUUAUAAGAACUGUUAAAGUUAAGCACAGACUAUCCUUUAUUCUUUCCAACGACAAGAAACCGUUAAUGGGAUCCUUUUAGUCAAUUAAACAAGCGUGAUGAGGAAGGGGUACACGUAAAGGGGCAUCGGAAGCUUUCUCAAGCGGAGAUCGAAGGUUUUUUUUAUUGUUUUGUGUAAUGGAGGUGCCUAGGGGGCCUAAAACAAAGCCCUAAGACAGGAAGAGAGGGAAUAAUUGCUAAGAAGGGAGAAUUUUUUGUCAAGCAAGAAGAUAGUUAAGUGACAUCGGCAAAAACUGAACACUGAUGAAAGAAAGCGGAUCUUUGAUGAAGACGAUAAAUAAAACGGGAUAUUAAACAUAACUCUGUAGGACACCGGGUGAAAAUAAAUGAGGACUGGAAAGAAAGCUAUCAAAAGGUCAACCUGAUACAUGUGUGAUACAGAUACAACAUAGAAAGUUUAUAAAGAAGACGGGUGUCCCAGACACGACCAAAGGCCUUGAAGAUGCUAAAAGAGAUAACUAUGUGCCACCAAAGGAUUCCAGAGCAGAAUACCAAGCAAGCAUAGCGUACAUCAAGUACCAACAAUUUCGGUGUGAUUGAAGCAGGGCAACCGAAAAUUUAUCCCACCGAAUAUUUUCUUACCGAAAUUUUCAAAUGUUAGAAAAAUCUCAUUUUACACCAUUUUACACUCAUUUUACAAAAAUUUUGUUUCUUGAUAUUAUUUGAGUAUUACUAUACUUCCCAUACAAAUCAGUUUUCUGUUUCUGGUUCUUCUUUGUCAUCAACAAAUAAGAUACACAGCUCAUCUUUACUCUUUCGCCCUCUACAUCCAAGAAAUUUGACUUCUCUUUAUGCAUGUGCUAAACUGAUGUUUCUAGCGGAUCUUCAUAAUUUCUCUCAAUUAUUUCUUUCUAUAAUAAAAAAUAAUCCUUUCUCUAUGAUAGAAAUAAUUAAAA